AUUGAACGCUGGCGGCAUGCCUUACACAUGCAAGUCGAACGGUAACAGGUCUUCGGAUGCUGACGAGUGGCGAACGGGUGAGUAAUACAUCGGAACGUGCCUAGUAGCGGGGGAUAACUACUCGAAAGAGUGGCUAAUACCGCAUGAGAUCUACGGAUGAAAGCAGGGGAUCGCAAGACCUUGUGCUACUAGAGCGGCCGGUGGCAGAUUAGGUAGAUGGUGGGAUAAAAGCUUACCAAGCCGACGAUCUGUAGCUGGUCUGAGGGGACGAGCAGCCACACUGGGACUGAGACACGGCCAAGACUCCUACGGGAGGCAGGAGUAGGAAAUUUUGGACAAUGGGCGCAAGCCUGAUCCAGCAAUGCCGCGUGCAGUAUGAGGGCCUUCGGGUUGUAAACUGCUUUUGUACGGAACGAAAAGCCCUGGGUUAAUACCCUGGGGUCAUGACGGUACCGUAAGAAUAAGCACCGGCUAACUACGUGCCAGCAGCCGCCGUAACAC
rnacentral:rRNA from 1 species